rnacentral:tRNA from 1 species
GGGAAUGUGGCUUAGUGGUAGAGUGCUUGCAUGGCAUGCAUGAAGUCCUGGGUUUGAUUCCUCAGUACCA